AUGGUGCACGUCAACUUCUACCGCAACUAUGGAAAGACCUUCAAGAAGCCAAGGCGUCCGUAUGAGAAGGAGCGUCUUGACGCUGAGCUGAAGCUGGUUGGGGAGUACGGUCUGCGGGCCAAGCGUGAGCUCUAUCGUGUGCAGUAUGCCCUCAGCCGCAUCCGAAAUGCUGCCAGGGAGCUGCUCACUCUGGAUGAGAAGAACCCCCGCCGUAUCUUUGAGGGUGCGGCUCUCCUCCGCCGCAUGAACCGCUACGGUCUUCUCACUGAGGAACAGAACAAGCUUGAUUACGUGCUUGCCCUCACUGUUGACAACUUCCUCCAGCGCCGUCUCCAGACCAUCGUCUUCAAGAAUGGCAUGGCCAAGUCAAUCCAUCAUGCGCGUGUCCUUAUCAGACAGCGCCACAUCAGGGUUGGAAAGCAGCUCGUCAACAUUCCUUCUUUCAUGGUGAGGGUGGACACUGAGAAACACGUCGACUUCUCGCUCACCAGCCCCCUUGGUGGUGGCCAACCUGGAAGAGUGAAGCGGAAGAACCAGAAGAAGGCCUCAGGUGGUGGUGGUGAUGACGGCGAGGAGGAGGAAGACUAA
rnacentral:rRNA from 1 species